rnacentral:rRNA from 1 species
GAUGAACGCUGGCGGCGUGCCUAAUACAUGCAAGUCGAGCGAACAGACGAGGAGCUUGCUCCUCUGACGUUAGCGGCGGACGGGUGAGUAACACGUGGAUAACCUACCUAUAAGACUGGGAUAACUUCGGGAAACCGGAGCUAAUACCGGAUAAUAUAUUGAACCGCAUGGUUCAAUAGUGAAAGACGGUUUUGCUGUCACUUAUAGAUGGAUCCGCGCCGCAUUAGCUAGUUGGUAAGGUAACGGCUUACCAAGGCGACGAUGCGUAGCCGACCUGAGAGGGUGAACGGCCACACUGGAACUGAGACCCGGGCCAGACUUCUACGGGAGGCAGCAGUAGGGAAUCCUCCGACAUGAGCGAAAGCCUGACGGAGCAACGCCGCGUGAGUGAUGAAGGUCGUCGGAUCGUAAAACUCUGUUAUUAGGGAAGAACAAAUGUGUAAGUAACUAUGCACGUCUUGACGGUACCUAAUCAGAAAGCCACGGCUAACUACG